GUCACACGUCUCUACCCCGCAGUUCAACCUCCACGUCUGACUUUCUUUCUCUCAUCUCCCUCCAGCAAUUGCCUCGCGAUUCUCUCCACCAUUAUGAAAUGAUUGUGAUUCAUUCGCGUUUCAUAUCUAAAAGCCCUAGUUUCAUUUCUUUCUUCCAUACCCACCUUCAUCGGCAACUUCAUCUCUAUUCUGAUUCUCUUCACCCUUAAUUACUCCAUCUCAUGAUGGCCGGAAAACCAUAUAUUUUUCUCU
rnacentral:misc_RNA from 1 species